rnacentral:rRNA from 1 species
GAUGAACGCUAGCUACAGGCUUAACACAUGCAAGUCGAGGGGUAACGAGAGGAAAGCUUGCUUUCCUUGUCGACGACCGGCGCACGGGUGAGUAACGCGUAUCCAACCUGCCCCCAACUAAGGAAUAACCUUGCGAAAGUAAGACUAAUACCUUAUAAUUUCCUCAGAUGUCAUCUGACGAGGAAUAAAGAUUUAUCGGUUGUGGAUGGGGAUGCGUCUGAUUAGCUUGUUGGCGGGGUAACGGCCCACCAAGGCAACGAUCAGUAGGGGUUCUGAGAGGAAGGUCCCCCACAGUGGAACUGAGACACGGUCCAAACUCCUACGGGAGGCAGCAGUGAGGAAUAUUGGUCAAUGGGCGGAAGCCUGAACCAGCCAAGUAGCGUGCAGGAUGACGGCCCUAUGGGUUGUAAACUGCUUUUAUACAGGAAUAAAGUUAGCCACGUGUGGUUAUUUGUAGGUACUGUAUGAAUAAGGACCGGCUAAUUCCGUGCCAGCCGCCGCUGUAA